rnacentral:rRNA from 1 species
UACGGGGGGAGCAAGCGUUGUUCGGAUUUACUGGGCGUAAAGGGCGCGUAGGCGGUCAGCACAAGUCAGUUGUGAAAUCUCCGGGCUUAACUCGGAAAGGUCAACUGAUACUGUGCGACUAGAGUGCGGAAGGGGCAACUGGAAUUCUCGGUGUAGCGGUGAAAUGCGUGGAUAUCGAGAGGAACACCUGCGGCGAAGGCGGGUUGCUGGGCCGACACUGACGCUGAUGCGCGAAAGCCAGGGGAGCGAACGGG